AUCUACAAGUAAUUAGUGAAACGAUCUUUAGUCUCGCGAAAUCCUGUUCAAUCUCGCGUGAGUUCGUACAGGACAGCACGGAAGGUCGAGAAGACGUGAGAGGUCGGCGCUUUGCAGUCCCGUCAUAAACAGAGACAGUUUGCUGCAUUCGCAACUUUUCCCAGUUGCUGGCACACCUACUGUACUGCAGCUACUGUACUAUAGAAAUGGCUAUGGCUAGCCUGAUUGUUCAGGGGUCCAGACUAUUGACAUCAGGACUGUCCAGGGCCCUGCCACGUUUCACACAGCCCUCUUGCCCUAAGACAAUGGGGAGAAACUACCAGCCAAGUAACACCAGGAGGUGGAAUGUCUACGGCUACGAGACCAGACUGAAGACCAGGGGAGGCAUCGAGGUGCUGCUCAGACGCAUGCUGAAAGGAAGACACAACCUGGCCCAUUUCCACCACAGAACCAAUGUCUCACCCAAGAGCAACUAUGUGAACUAUCAGAAAAUAAAAAGGUACAAGUUGACAAAGGGGAAACCUUUAGAUGCUGUGUACAAACGAGAGUGAUGAUGACAUUCAUAGGGACCGUUGGCAUGAGCUAGUGUGAUGAGUUAAGAGCUAAGCAUGCUGCUAGAAGCUUCAGAUCUCCAAUGGGUAUUUGUUUAUACAUCAAUAAGUGGAAUAAAGGUUUAUAUCAUAAAAUCAUAUGUGAAGGACGAUAACUCAACUGUUCCAGUGUGAAACUAAAAGUAAGAAGUACCAGUGCUAUGUACUGAUGUGACAAACAUGUCUAUGUCGAUGAUACUAUGUGGAGACAGUUCUUCUGUAUUUGUUGUUAUCUUUACAUGUAAUGCACAGGUAUUCUACUUACUAAAACAAACAAAAAAUACAAGACUCGUAGCAAUAGCAUGUGUAUUUAUCUUCAAAUGCCGGGCAAUGCAUUUAACAGCCUUGUCAGUACUUGGCAUCAUAUCUGUACUGUACAUGUGUAUUAAAAUCAAACUUGACUACAAAUGCUAUAGCUA